rnacentral:misc_RNA from 1 species
UCCGGUUUGUCACCGGCAGUCUCAUUAGAGUGCCCUUUCGUAGCAACUAAUGACAAGGGUUGCGCUCGUUGCGGGACUUAACCCAACAUCUCACGACACGAGCUGACGACAGCCAUGCAGCACCUGUGUGCCAGUUCCCUUGCGGGCACGCCCCCAUCUCUGAGAGCUUCUGGCCAUGUCAAGGGUAGGUAAGGUUUUUCGCGUUGCAUCGAAUUAAUCCACAUCAUCCACCGCUUGUGCGGGUCCCCGUCAAUUCCUUUGAGUUUUAAUCUUGCGACCGUACUCCCCAGGCGGUCGACUUCACGCGUUAGCUGCGUUACCAAGGAAAUGAAUCCCCGACAACUAGUCGACAUCGUUUAGGGCGUGGACUAC